CUGUGCUAGGUGGGGAGUUAGCGGUUCCCUGUAACCUGAAAUCCGCUUAUGCAGGAUUGAAUUCCGAAAGACGGGUUUUGCUGCGUUUUAAAAGAUUAUUUAAUUAGUGUUGAAUAGAUAGCUCUGCGCAAUAGUUUUUAGUUGAACUCCGUCAGAUCUGGAAGGAAGCAGCGGUAGAUUAAACAAUUAUGUGCCGUAGAAUCACUGUCUGUGAGCUAAUUUUUAAUUAUUUUAUUUCUAACAGAAAAUUCAACUUUCGGUGCACAG
rnacentral:SRP_RNA from 1 species